rnacentral:lncRNA from 1 species
AUAAAUCGUCGGAUCUGUCACGAGAGUCGGAUCUGUCACUCUCUUUACCGGUUCAAUUGCAAUCAAAUCCUUCCCCCCAAAAUCCCAUUCCAGAGGGUCACGAUCUGGUUAGAGAUGAGUCACGAUUUGGUUAAAUUACGUAUCUGCUAGCCCCCUCCCCCCUAUAUUGGAUAAGGCGUUUAAGAAGCUGCCGUUCCCUCUCUAAAUAAGAAGUAAAGCCCUAGAUUCUGUUCAUUAACAACGGGCGAAUGAAAUCUACAAUAAUGAGCGCUUCAAGCCAGCCCCGUCCCCUAAUGAAAACAAUCUAUCACUGAUAGAGGAGUCCGGGACUAAGCCUCUGAUUCAUGGUAUCACUGCUGAAGCCCUCUUCUGCAUCGUAUCACUGCCUCUUAUUUAUUGCGGCGGAAAAGGUAGAAGAAUAGAGUCUCGAAGGGAGUUAGUGUUAAGGGCGAAUUCUUGCCCGCCGUAUAGCUCUUGGCACGUAUAUAAUAGAUGGGAUUUCCUGGUUUGAGAGGGGCAGAUGUAUAGAACUGGUUACUGCCAGAAAAGCAAGUUAGCGCUCAAGCUCGUACUAGAAGUAAAGGGGGGAAUAGUAAUAAUAAGGGGAAAAGGGCUCUUAAUAAUAAUAAGGGGAAAAGAGCGGAUAAUAAUAUACGGGCGGGAUCCGAACAAGUAUGAAUCACUCCCACUCUUAUGUACUGGGCGAUGGAGAGCCAUCCUUCCGGAAGACAAGAGCUUAUGACCGAAGGGGCUGCCAUAUGUACUGCCCACCGAAAAGCGUGCGAGCGGGAGCUCAUAGACUAGGGAUCGGAGGAAGCAGUGCCCCUUUUUCAAUGAAUUAAGUCCUGGACUCGAGUCUAUCACAUACGCAUUAGCUUUGAGGAUGACUAGAUCGGGUGGGAAUCAAUCCGUUUAUCGUCCACAUCGAUCAAGAAUGGUAGAGCAGGCAAAUGCCAACAACCACUUCUCAGACCCCCCAACUUCCAAUAGCUUUCAUUGG